rnacentral:lncRNA from 1 species
AUAAUCAAACCUUUACCAUAAUCAAACUAGUUAUAAAACUAUGCCUGUCCAUUCAUGCAACUUCAUAAAUAUGAUUAUGCAUCAUAAAACUUUUGCCAUUUAUGCAUCGUAAAACUUUUGUCAUUUAUGCAUCAUAAAACUUUUGCCAUUUAUGCAACAUAAAACUUUUGCCAUUUAUGCAACAUAAAACUUUUGCAAUUAUUCCAUACUUUGAAAUUCAUACUCUCAGAUGGUAGUGUAGCUAUGGCCGCUCUUAUUCCCACGGCAAGGCCUUUACCACUGCAGGGUCAUCUUCCAGUUACUAUUACCCACUGGCGGGGGUCGUAAAGCCAAGUUACUUUUACCCACUGGCGGGGUUAUAUGCCUAGUUA